UCCAUGCUGCAGGCAGACUCAGAUCAGCAGAGACGCACCUGACACCUGGCUGUGUAGUCCAGGCUGAGCUGCGUGUGGCAGUGAGCACAGAGAAAUGCAGGGUCUACCGUGGUGGCUCAUGCCUGGAAUCCCAGUACUUCAGGAGGCUGUGGCGGGUGAUGGCUUGAGGCCAGGAGCUUCAGACAGUCCUGGGAAACAGACUGUGACCCUGUUUCUACAGAAAAGAAAAAAGUGAGCUGGGCAUGGAGGCUCAUGCCUGUGGUCCCAGCUACUCAGGAGGCUGAGGUGGGAGGAUCACUUGGGCCCGGGAGGCGGAGGCUUCAGGGAGCUAUGAUCACCCCUUGGCCUUCCAGCCUGGGCGACAGAGCAAGAUCCUGUCUAAAAAGGAGAAAUAGAGGGGAUAAAGAGAAAUAUAUAUAUAUAUGUUUCAUUGUAAUCUAUAAUCUGAUUCUGGGGAAGGUGAGCUGAUUUGUAUUUAAUUCCUGAUUAUCAUCUAGGGUUUAUGUGACUUUGGACAUGAAUGUCACCUCUGAGCCUGCUGUCAUGAACCCCAC
rnacentral:lncRNA from 1 species